UACGUAGGGGGGCAAGCGUUGUCCGGAUUUAUUGGGCGUAAAGAGCGUGUAGGCGGCUUUACAGGUCCGUUGUGAAAACUCGAGGCUCAACCUCGAGACGCCGGUGGAAACCGUAAGGCUAGAGUCCGGAAGAGGAGAGUGGAAUUCCUGGUGUAGCGGUGAAAUGCGCAGAUAUCAGGAGGAACACCAAUGGCGAAGGCAGCUCGCUGGGACGGUACUGACGCUGAGACGCGAAAGCGUGGGUAGCAAACAGG
rnacentral:rRNA from 1 species